rnacentral:rRNA from 1 species
AUUGAACGCUGGCGGCAUGCCUUACACAUGCAAGUCGAACGGCAGCACGGGAGCAAUCCUGGUGGCGAGUGGCGAACGGGUGAGUAAUAUAUCGGAACGUGCCCGGUCGUGGGGAUAACGUAGCGAAAGUUACGCUAAUACCGCAUACGAUCUACGGAUGAAAGCGGGGGAUCGCAAGACCUCGCGCGAUUGGAGCGGCCGAUAUCAGAUUAGGUAGUUGGUGAGGUAAAGGACGUCACCAAGCCGACGAUCUGUAGCUGGUCUGAGAGGACGACCAGCCACACUGGGACUGAGACACGGCCCAGACUCCUACGGGAGGCAGCAGUGGGGAAUUUUGGACAAUGGGCGCAAGCCUGAUCCAGCAAUGCCGCGUGCAGGAUGAAGGCC